CUGGUUGAUCCUGCCAGUAGUCAUAUGCUUGUCUCAAAGAUUAAGCCAUGCAUGUCUAAGUAUAAGCGAUAUACAGUGAAACUGCGAAUGGCUCAUUAAAUCGGUUAUAAUCUACUCGAUAGUACACAUUACUUGGAUAACUCCGGUAAUUCUGUAGCUAACACAUGCUUGCCCUCGGGCGUAUCUGUUAGAUUAAAAGCCAACAUUAUCUGGUGAUUCAUAACAGCUUGUCGGAUCGCAUGGCCUUGAGCCGGCGAUGGUUCGAUCGAAUUUCCGCUCUAUUAACUAGAUUCAAGGGUAGUGACCUUGAAUUGUGACAAUGGAUAACGGGGAAUAAGGGUUCUAUUCCGGAGAGGGAGCCUGAGAAACGGCUACCACAUCCAAGGAAGGCAGCAGGCGCGCAAAUUACCCAAUCCUAAUACAGGGAGGUAGUGACAAUAAAUAACGAUACGGGGCCCAUUGGGUUUCGUAAUUGGAAUGAGAACAAUUUAAAUACCUUAACGAGGAACAAGUAGAGGGCAAGUCUGGUGCCAGCAGCCGCGGUAAUUCCAGCUCUGCUAGUGUAUAUUAAAGUUGUUGCAGUUAAAAAGCUCGUAGUUGAAUGUCGGAAGCGGAAGGUAGGACACGCAAGUGUCCUGCCGUACCUCUUCUUAUGGCUGUCCUCACGGACGGCCGGUUACAUUGAAAAAAUUAGAGUGUUCAAAGCAGGCUAUUGCUCGAAUAUUUCAGCAUGGGAUAACGGAAUAGGACGAUAGUUUUAUUUUGUUGGUUUUUAAAACCGUCGUAAUGAUUAAUAGGAACGGUCGGGGGUAUUAGUAUUUAGUUGUCAGAGGUGAAAUUCUUGGAUUUACUAAAGACUAACAACUGCGAAGGCAUUUACCAAGGACGUCUCCAUUAAUCAAGAACGAAAGUUAGGGGAUCGAAGACGAUCAGAUACCGUCGUAGUCUUAACCGUAAACGAUGCCGACUCAGGAUGGGUACUUUUUAAUAAAUGAAGUAUCUGCACUGUACGAGAAAUCAAAGUUUUUGGGUUCUGGGGGGAGUAUUUACGCAAGUAAGGAACUUAAAGGAAUUGACGGAAGGGCACCACCAGGAGUGGAGCCUGCGACUUAAUUUGACUCAACACGGGGAAACUUACCAGGUCCAGACGCGAUUAGGAUUGACAGAUUGAUAGCUCUUUCAUGAUUUCGCGGGUGGUGGUGCAUGGCCGUUCUUAGUUCGUGGAUUCAUCUGGCAACUUGAUUGUGGUAACGAACGAGACCUCUGUUAAUAGUUGGGGAUUAUUACUUUAGUAGUGAUUUCGAUCUAUUAAGACUGCUGGUGCGAGCCAGAGGAAGUUGGAGGCGAUAACAGGUCUGUGAUGCCCUUAGACGUUCUGGGCUGUACGCGCGCUACACUGACAAAGCCAACGAGUUUUGGCCUUGGCCGAGAGGUCUGGGUAAUCUUGUUAAACUUUGUCGUGCUGGGGACUGAGCAUUGCAAUUAUUGCUCACGAACGAGGAAUUCCUAGUAAGCGCAAGUCAUCAGCUUGCGUUGAUUACGUCCCUGCCCUUUGUACACACCGCCCGUCGCUAGUACCGAUUGAAUGAUUUAGUGAGGUCUUGGGAGGAGAGAAUUUUUGGGAGACUGAGAAUUUUUUCCAAACUUGAUCAAACUGAAUUAUUUAGAGGAACUAAAAGUCGUAACAAGGUAUCUGUAGGUGAACCUGCAGAUGGAUCAUUC
rnacentral:rRNA from 1 species